rnacentral:lncRNA from 1 species
GUUUGUAUGUGGUGCUGAGGAUCGAACCCGGGCCGCACGCAUGCCAGGCGAGUGUGCUACCGCUUGAGCCACAUCCCCAGCCCAGUGGAAGGGUUUUGAAGUGGGGUUUACUUCUCUUGUCUCUCCUAGGGUCAUCUGUGCUUGAAUAUUGAGAAGCCACCACCAUCAGCGGAUCCACAGAGACUCCAUCAGCUUUGGCUUCUUGGGAACUGGUAUUCUGGGGGCAGGGUCUGACCAGCAUGCAACAUAAUCCUUUCUCCAUUUUUUCCACAUUUGGGGCAGUUAAGACCAGCUGUGAAAUGCCCUGAGAAUGGGGAUGUGUUUGGAGAGGCUGCUGUGGGACACCAAAUGGAGCUAAAACUUGUCUGGAACUGCACUGUCCAAUAUGGUAGCCACUAACACUUUUGGUUAUGAAGCACUUGGUCUGUGGCCGCUCCAAGCUGAGAAAUGCUGUGAGGGUAAAAUACACACCACAUUUCAAAGACUUAUCACUUAAAAAAAGAAUAUACAUCGUCUCAUUAAUAUUUUAAAUAUUGACUAUAUGCUGAUAAAAUAUUUUGGAUAUUUG